rnacentral:rRNA from 1 species
AUUGAACGCUGGCGGCAGGCCUAACACAUGCAAGUCGAACGAGUGGCGGACGGGUGAGUAAUGUCUGGGAAACUGCCCUGUGGAGGGGGAUAACUACUGGAAACGGUCGCUAAUACCGCAUACCAUCGGAUGUGCCCAGAUGGGAUUAGCUAGUAGGGGGGGUAAAGGCUCACCUAGGCGACGAUCCCUAGCUGGUCUGAGAGGAUGACCAGCCAAACUGGAACGGAGAAACGGGCCAGACGCCGACGGGAGGCAGCAGUGGGGAAUAUGGCACAAUGGGCGCAAGCCUGAUGCAGCCAUGCCGCGUGUAUGAAGAAGGCCUUCGGGUUGUAAAGUACUUUCAGCGAGGAGGCGUUACUCGCAGAAGAAGCACCGGCUAACUCCGUGCCAGCAGCCGCGGUAAUAC